UCAUAGAAGAAAUUGGUCUCUGUAAUCUUGUAGAGAAACUAAAGCAUAUGUCUUGCUAUUUAAUGCCAUAUGUUUCAUUUUCUCUAUUAGCAACAAGAGGUUAUCAGCUGCAUUGCAA
rnacentral:precursor_RNA from 12 species